rnacentral:rRNA from 1 species
AUUCCAGCUCCAAUAGCGUAUAUUAAAGUUGUUGCAGUUAAAAAGCUCGUAGUUGGAUUUCUGGUUGGAGCGACCGGUCGGGCAUUGAUUUGUCUGCACUGGAGUCGGUUCUGGCCAUCCUCUUGGAAAGUGCGUCUGUCAUUAAGUUGUCGGGCGUAUGAUCCAGGUCUUUUACUGUGAAAAAAUUAGAGUGUUUAAAGCAGGCCUUCGCCUUGAAUACAUUAGCAUGGAAUAAUAAGAUAGGACUUUGGUCUAUUUUGUUGGUUUGCAGACCGAAGUAAUGAUUAAUAGGGAUGGUUGGGGGUAUUUAUAUUCCAAUGUCAGAGGUGAAAUUCUUAGAUUUUUGGAAGAUAAACUUAUGCGAAAGCAUUUACCAAGGAUGUUUUCAUUG